rnacentral:lncRNA from 1 species
GGGAAAUAUAGGCAUGUCUGUCUAUUUCGUCAAAUAUCUCGCAAUGUGUAUAUUUUGAUUUUUUCGAGUCGGGUGUAACUGGUGUGGAAUGGCUAGCUAGUUAGCGACACAAAGGAAGUCAAAGCGGACACCUACGAAGAUGGCAUCUCAGAGAGUGAGCUGAUAAAGGGGUCGAAAAUGUAGAUAUUGCCAGAUGUUCACUGUCCAAGGAACAGGCCGUGGAAGCUUUAUUGCUGGCAAAAGUGUCCAUAUCCAGAGAUUUACACCACGUGAACACAGCCAUUUUCACUGGACUAUCUGUUGCUGCCAAGUCAUGAUUUCCCUGGGGGUUAGCCUUGCAAUAACCAAGUGCAUAAAGUACUCUGUAGCCACUUAGUGCGGACACCAGGUGAGACCACACACACACACACAAUAACAGUCUCUCUUCUUCACUUCAUCCCUCUCCCCCUUCUCCCUAAAUCCUCGAGGUUAUAUCAGCUGUUUUGGUGAAGCCCUCCUGCAUCUGAACUGGCUGACACAGAGGGCACAGCAUGAUCAUAAGUAUGUUUUGAUGUGAGGGAGGAAGCCAGUCCCGUCAUCGCCACCUCACCCACUCUUAAGAUAACCUUCGGGCCAACUGGGGCCCCAAGGCUGGUUAGGAGACAACGCAAUUGUGAUGAACUGAGAGAAUAUUAGGGUAGCACUGUAAUUCAUGAAUCAAAUGCGGUCUUCCACUGUUCUUAGCUCUUUCCCUUUCUGUCUUCUACACCUCUCUCCCCACCUCUCCUUUCUUCCUUUAUAAUGCAC